GACAGAGGAUGCAAGCGUUAUCCGGAAUGAUUGGGCGUAAAGCGUCUGUAGGUGGCUUUUUAAGUCCGCCGUCAAAUCCCAGGGCUCAACCCUGGACAGGCGGUGGAAACUACCAAGCUGGAGUACGGUAGGGGGCAGGAGGGAAUUCCCGAGUGUAGCGGUGAAAUGCGUAGAUAUUUGGGGAGGAACACCAGUGGCGAAGGCGGCUCACUGGACCGGUACUGACGCUGAGGCGCGAAAGCGUGGGGAGCAAACAGG
rnacentral:rRNA from 1 species